UCUAAAUCUCGCUCUACUAUCAGCCAACAGCAGAACAUCAGUCAGACAUCAGAGCAGAACCAGAGUGAAGCCGGAUACAACACACUGUCUGAUGUAACUGGGCCGACUGAGAUCACAUAUGCUGAGGUUGAACUCCAAUCUACAAAGAAACAGGAGAAAAGGAAAGAGAACAAAGGCAAUAACAGUGAGAGCAGUGACAUUUACUCAAAACUGAAGCUGUAAACAGAUCAAGGUGAGUGUCAAACUAAAAACAUCAAUCACAAUUCACAAUCAGCUCAUAUAUGCAUUAUUGGGUAUAAUGUAAUGUGGGUGGUGACGGCGCAGUGGAUAAGACACAUGCCUUUGGUGUGAGAGACCCGGGUUCGAA